rnacentral:rRNA from 1 species
AGCGAACGCUGGCGGCAGGCCUAAUACAUGCAAGUCGAGCGGCCACUUCGGUGGCAGCGGCGGACGGGUGAGUAACGCGUGGGAACGUGCCCUUUGGUUCGGAACAACACAGGGAAACUUGUGCUAAUACCGAAUGUGCCCUUCGGGGGAAAGAUUUAUCGCCAUUGGAGCGGCCCGCGUUGGAUUAGGUAGUUGGUGGGGUAAAGGCCCACCAAGCCUACGAUCCAUAGCUGGUCUGAGAGGAUGAUCAGCCACACUGGGACUGAGACACGGCCCAGACUCCUACGGGAGGCAGCAGUAGGGAAUCUUGCGCAAUGGGCGAAAGCCUGACGCAGCCAUGCCGCGUGAAUGAUGAAGGUCUUAGGAUUGUAAAAUUCUUUCACCGGGGAAGAUAAUGACGGUACCCGGAGAAGAAGCCCCGGCUAACUUCGUGCCAGCAGCCGCAGUAACAC